GCCAGUAAAAACGGGAAUGACUCAAACAAGAGUGGCAGGCAGCUCAAACCAAACCUUAUCUUUCGCACUUAAAAAUAUAGUGCAAAACACAGGGCAAUGACAACCUGUGUUUAACUAUGGAUUACGUAACACUUUUGUUAUAUGUUAGCCUUUCUUAUCACAUGCUGUUUAUGUCAGUGUGAAAAACUAUUUUUCAUUCCUUAAAUAGCACCUGAUAAGAUGCUUCUUGGCUAUACAUUUACUCAGUGUUUUGUGGAGAAGCCAAACUGAAAUGGAGAGUUCCCAGCCCAAGUCCUCUAAUAGUUAAUCAUUAUUAAUUUUGAGGGUCUGGGCUGGGUGACCAGAGCCUCUUUCUGGUCCCAUUUCACUGUGCGUCAUCUGACAGCCUUGUGGCCUUGGCUGGAUUCUUUUCCCAUAUAGUUUAUUUUUGAAGAGGAACUAGCCCCUUGAAAAGCAUUUGCUGCAAGAAAAGCUGAGGAUCUGCUGAUCUGCAUCAGUGGGAAUGAAGAACGCCUUCAUUUAAGAGACGCUGUAACUGCUUCUCCUGCAAGGUCAGAUCCUUCCAUGAAACUACUGGGCCAGCAUCUCCAGAUUGACUCAACCAUUGUCUGACCAUCUGAUCAUAAACCUGGCCUCCCAGCAACGUGGUUUAUCUCCUUCAGGCCAGCUCGAGGUUCCAACCUCGGCACCAUCCAAGGAGCGACACCAGGACUGGACCCAGAAGCCAGAGAUGGGCUGACACAGGAGCACAAAGGCCUGUGCUCCAUGGGGGUGCGUUCAGUUCCACGGACACAGGAAAGACUGGCACCGUGUGUGCCAGAGGCCGUGAGCCGUGCCCUCAGAGACGGUGAAAUCAUAAGUUGUACUGAAAACUGGAGAGGACAAGGACAGCUGAAGACGCCUCCUGAUCUAGUCUGUGUGUCCAUUACCAGCAAUAAAAACUUAAAAUAUCGCCUAAGUCCUGAGUUAGUGAAGAGCAAGGGCCAGGCUGUGUCAGGAGCUGUAACAGCCGCCAGGAAACAACACGUGUUUCCACACCAUCAGCAGAUGGAUGUGCAAGAAAGGACACCGUGCUUACAUGUGUCUUCCAGGAUGAGUGGGUCCCCUUCUCUUCCCAUGAAAGUGCAACUGCUUUCAUGGAAGAUCACAGGGUGUCUCCCCAGCAAUGAGAAACAGCUGUGUUCCCAAUAACACAGACUACAAACCCUAAAGGCAAAGCGGAGGCUCCUUCCUGGAGGUGUCAGCCUGAGACACAGGCUUCAGUGGAUGCAUGUCCACAGGCCUCUAAAUGGGCACAUUCCUUUAAAACCUGCUUUGCUUCAUUUUGCUUCACAUUAUCCCCCCAAAGAGGAUGUGGCCCCAUGUUUGUGAUCCCACCAAAUCUGCCCUAUAUCAGGGCUGUCCAUUCACUUUCUUAAUUUUGAAUAGAAAGGAACUAGGAGAGAAAGAAGGGCUGACACGACAUCAAUCAAGGCUGGUCUGGGAAGCUUUUGGAUGUCACAGAGGUUACCGGAUUGGAUGGGUAAAAAAGAAUAACAAUGCUAAUGAAGGAGACAGGUUUAAUCACAGAUUUUGUAAUUAUUUGUGGGUGUGAGCCCUCACAAUUGAGGGAGUUGUAAAAUAAGCUUUGCAAAAAUUUCUUCAAAAAGUAAUAUAGUG
rnacentral:lncRNA from 1 species